GACGAACGCUGGCGGCGUGCCUAAUACAUGCAAGUCGAGCGGACUUGACAGAGCUUGCUCUGUUCAAGUUAGCGGCGGACGGGUGAGUAACACGUGGGCAACUUGCCCUGCAGAUUGGGAUAACUCCGGGAAACCGGGGCUAAUACCGAAUAACAUUGGAAACCUCAUGGUUUCCUUUUAAAAGGCGGCUUCGGCUGUCACUGCAGGAUGGGCCCGCGGCGCAUGAGCUAGUUGGUGAGGUAACGGCUCACCAAGGCGACGAGGCGUAGCCGACCGGGGAGGGUGAUCGGCCACACUGGGACGGAGGCACGGCCCAGACUCCUACGGGAGGCAGCAGUAGGGAAUCUUCCGCAAUGGACGAAGGUCUGACGGAGCAACGCCGCGUGAGUGAAGAAGGUUUUCGGAUCGUAAAACUCUGUUGUCAGGGAAGAACAAGUACGGGAGUAACUGACCGUACCUUGACGGUACCUGGCCAGAAAGCCACGGCUAACUACGUGCCAGCCGCCGCAGUAACAC
rnacentral:rRNA from 1 species